CGCCGGCGGCAGGCCUAACACAUGCAAGUCGAGCGGUAGCACAGAGAGCUUGCUCUCGGGUGACGAGCGGCGGACGGGUGAGUAAUGUCUGGGAAACUGCCUGAUGGAGGGGGAUAACUACUGGAAACGGUAGCUAAUACCGCAUAAUGUCGCAAGACCAAAGUGGGGGACCUUCGGGCCUCAUGCCAUCAGAUGUGCCCAGAUGGGAUUAGCUAGUAGGUGGGGUAACGGCUCACCUAGGCGACGAUCCCUAGCUGGUCUGAGAGGAUGACCAGCCACACUGGAACUGAGACACGGUCCAGACUCCUACGGGAGGCAGCAGUGGGGAAUAUUGCACAAUGGGCGCAAGCCUGAUGCAGCCAUGCCGCGUGUGUGAAGAAGGCCUUCGGGUUGUAAAGCACUUUCAGCGGGAGGAAGGCGUUGAGGUUAAUAACCUUGUCGAUUGACGUUACCCGCAGAAGAAGCACCGGCUAACUCCGUGCCAGCAGCCGCGUAAUACGGAGGGUGCA
rnacentral:rRNA from 1 species